GAAAUGCGAUAAGUAAUGUGAAUUGCAGAAUUCAGUGAAUCAUCGAAUCUUUGAACGCACAUUGCGCUCGCCAGUAUUCUGGCGAGCAUGCCUGUUCGAGCGUCAUUUCAACCAUCAAGCUCUGCUUGCGUUGGGGAUCCGCGGCUGCCCGCGGUCCCUCAAAAACAGUGGCGGGCUCGCUAGUCACACCGAGCGUAGUAACUCUACAUCGCUAUGGUCGUGCGGCGGGUUCUUACCGUAAAACCCCCAAUUUCUAAGGUUGACCUCGGAUCAGGUAGGAAUACCCGCUGAACUUAAGC
rnacentral:misc_RNA from 1 species